rnacentral:tRNA from 1 species
GUUUAAAUAAUUUAAUAAAAAUGUUGAUUUGUGAAUUCAAAAAUAUGGUAAUUUCAUUUUAAGCA